UACGUAGGUGGCGAGCGUUGUCCGGAUUUACUGGGCGUAAAGAGCGCGCAGGCGGUCGUACAAGUCGCGUGUGAAAGCCCCCGGCUCAACUGGGGAGGGUCACGCGAUACUGUUCGACUCGAAGGCAGGAGAGGGUAGUGGAAUUCCCGGUGUAGUGGUGAAAUGCGUAGAUAUCGGGAGGAACACCAGUGGCGAAGGCAGCUCGCUGGGACGGUACUGACGCUGAGGCGCGAAAGCGUGGGGAGCAAACAGG
rnacentral:rRNA from 1 species